GCGAACGCUGGCGGCAGGCCUAACACAUGCAAGUCGAACGAACUCUUCGGAGUUAGUGGCGGACGGGUGAGUAACACGUGGGAACGUGCCUUUAGGUUCGGAAUAACUCAGGGAAACUUGUGCUAAUACCGAAUGUGCCCAUCGGGGGAAAGAUUUAUCGCCUUUAGAGCGGCCCGCGUCUGAUUAGCUAGUUGGUGAGGUAAAGGCUCACCAAGGCGACGAUCAGUAGCUGGUCUGAGAGGAUGAUCAGCCACAUUGGGACUGAGACACGGCCCAAACUCCUACGGGAGGCAGCAGUGGGGAAUCUUGCGCAAUGGGCGAAAGCCUGACGCAGCCAUGCCGCGUGAAUGAUGAAGGUCUUAGGAUUGUAAAAUUCUUUCACCGGGGACGAUAAUGACGGUACCCGGAGAAGAAGCCCCGGCUAACUUCGUG
rnacentral:rRNA from 1 species